GACGAACGCUGGCGGCGUGCUUAACACAUGCAAGUGGAGCGACGAACCAGGCUUCGGCCUGGGGCAGAGCCGCGAACGGGUGAGUAACACGUGGGUAACCUGCCUCGAUGACCGGGACAACCCGGGGAAACCCGGGCUAAUACCGGAUGUGCCCCCUUCACAUCAGUGAAGACAGGAAAGGAAGCUUCGGCCUCCGCAUCGAGAUGGGCCCGCGGCCCAUUAGCUUGUUGGUGAGGAACGGCUCACCAAGGCUGCGAUGGGUAGCUGGUCUGAGAGGACGAUCAGCCACACUGGGACUGAGACACGGCCCAGACUCCUACGGGAGGCAGCAGUGGGGAAUCUUGCGCAAUGCGCGAAAGCGUGACGCAGCAACGCCGCGUGGGGGAAGACGGCC
rnacentral:rRNA from 1 species